rnacentral:lncRNA from 1 species
UCCCCCGGUCUUUUUCCAAGAAUCCCUGCCACCAAUGAUCAGUUUAUAAAAAUAAACAAAUAAAUAAAUGACCCCACCUUCAACUUAACUCCAAAAAUAAAUCAAAAGCAAUCCUAGUUAGUAGAUAUUCAAACUUAUACUUUAAUUCAAAACUUCAACUUGUAGUAAUUCAUUCUACAUGGCCCCAUCUUCUAGUUCUCCGGCUUUCACAAACCCUUCAAAGGGUCUGCGUUGCAAUUUACAAUACAAGUACUCCAUGUCCCACCAAAAUAAAAUCUGUCCCUCUUUGAUGCACCUUAUGCUUCCAAAACAAUAAAUCCACAUCAUCGUAGUAAUCUGUUACACACCUAACCACGCCAAUUUGAACAACAACGUAAAGGACGGUAAUAAAAAAUACAAAGAACAUAACGAGACGCAUAAAAAUCCAAUGACAAAUGAGAACAAGAUAAAAAUGGAUCCAAAAGCAGGGACGCCUUAAAUCUUUACCUCGGGAGGGAGGAUGACCGGCCCGAGCUGCGGCUUCCAAGGGGCUCUCCUCCCGAAGCGUUCCACGGCCUCCCUCACCGACUCGAAGGGUGCCGAGGUGUCGACCUCCCAUCUCCGCACCCUCUGCGCUUCCUUCGCCGCCCCCGAGGAGGAGGAGGAGGAGGCAAGGGUUUCCGGCGGCGCCGCACCAGUAACCACCUCCAUUGGAGAAGAACCCGAGGCUUCGUACGAGAAUGCCUUCUUUCCUUCUCUUCCUACUUGUUCUUCUUCUUCUUCUUCUUCUUCUCUGUCCUACUCUUCUUCACUUUUUCGAGUGAAGUCGAGAUCGGAGUAGAAGCGGAAGAACAGCACAGACGCAGACAGAGGGAAGGGGGAAG